rnacentral:rRNA from 1 species
GACGAACGCUGGCGGCGUGCCUAAUACAUGCAAGUUGAGCGCUGAAGGUUGGUACUUGUACCGACUGGAUGAGCAGCGAACGGUUGAGUAACGCGUGGGGAAUCUGCCUUUGAGCGGGGGACAACAUUUGGAAACGAAUGCUAAUACCGCAUAAAAACUUUAAACACAAGUUUUAAGUUUGAAAGAUGCAAUUGCAUCACUCAAAGAUGAUCCCGCGUUGUAUUAGCUAGUUGGUGAGGUAAAGGCUCACCAAGGCGAUGAUACAUAGCCGACCUGAGAGGGUGAUCGGCCACAUUGGGACUGAGACACGGCCCAAACUCCUACGGGAGGCAGCAGUAGGGAAUCUUCGGCAAUGGACGAAAGUCUGACCGAGCAACGCCGCGUGAGUGAAGAAGGUUUUCGGAUCGUAAAACUCUGUUGGUAGAGAAGAACGUUGGUGAGAGUGGAAAGCUCAUCAAGUGACGGUAACUACCCAGAAAGGGACGGCUAACUACGUG